rnacentral:rRNA from 1 species
AUUGAACGCUAGCGGGAUGCUUUACACAUGCAAGUCGAACGAGUGGCGGACGGGUGAGUAAUAUAUCGGAAAGUGCCCGGUAGCGGGGGAUAACUACUGGAAAGGGUGGCUAAUACCGCAUACUAUUGGAGCGGCCGAUAUGGGAUUAGCUAGUUGGUGGGGUAAAGGCUCACCAAGGCAACGAUCCGUAGCUGGUCUGAGAGGAUGACCAGCCACACUGGAACUGAGACACGGCCCAGACUCCUACGUGAGGCAGCAGUGGGGAAUUUUGCACAAGGGGGGCAAGCCUGAUCCAGCCAUCCCGCGUGUAUGAGAAGGCCUUCGUGUUGUAAAGUACUUUUGGCAGAGAAGCGUUAUCCGCAGAAGAAGCACCGGCUAACUACGUGCCAGCAGCCGCGGUAAUAC